rnacentral:rRNA from 1 species
GAGUUUGAUCAUGGCUCAGAGCGAACGCUGGCGGCAGGCUUAACACAUGCAAGUCGAGCGGGCGUAGCAAUACGUCAGCGGCAGACGGGUGAGUAACGCGUGGGAACGUACCUUUUGGUUCGGAACAACACAGGGAAACUUGUGCUAAUACCGGAUAAGCCCUUACGGGGAAAGAUUUAUCGCCGAAAGAUCGGCCCGCGUCUGAUUGGCUAGUUGGUGAGGUAAUGGCUCACCAAGGCGACGAUCAGUAGCUGGUCUGAGAGGAUGAUCAGCCACAUUGGGACUGAGACACGGCCCAAACUCCUACGGGAGGCAGCAGUGGGGAAUAUUGGACAAUGGGCGCAAGCCUGAUCCAGCCAUGCCGCGUGAGUGAUGAAGGCCCUAGGGUUGUAAAGCUC